rfam:Mesitornis unicolor contig41561, whole genome shotgun sequence.
GUUAAAAGCUAGGGCUAGGACUUGGAGGAUGUGUAGGCAAACGGAAGGAGAGCUGGGAGAAGAAAAACCGAAAUGGAUUCGUUCUCUGUCCUGGAUGGAGGAGGAGAGGAGAAGGGGACGUGCGAGCUUCCUUCAGCUGC